rnacentral:rRNA from 1 species
AGAGUUUGAUCAUGGCUCAGAUUGAACGCUGGCGGCAGGCCUAACACAUGCAAGUCGAACGGUAACAGGAAACAGCUUGCUGUUUCGCUGACGAGUGGCGGACGGGUGAGUAAUGUCUGGGAAACUGCCUGAUGGAGGGGGAUAACUACUGGAAACGGUAGCUAAUACCGCAUAACGUCGCAAGACCAAAGAGGGGGACCUUCGGGCCUCUUGCCAUCGGAUGUGCCCAGAUGGGAUUAGCUAGUAGGUGGGGUAACGGCUCACCUAGGCGACGAUCCCUAGCUGGUCUGAGAGGAUGACCAGCCACACUGGAACUGAGACACGGUCCAGACUCCUACGGGAGGCAGCAGUGGGGAAUAUUGCACAAUGGGCGCAAGCCUGAUGCAGCCAUGCCGCGUGUAUGAAGAAGGCCUUCGGGUUGUAAAGUACUUUCAGCGGGAGGAAGGAGUAAAGUUAAUACCUUUGCUCAUUGACGUUACCCGCAGAAGAAGCACCGGCUAACUCCGUGCCAGCAGCCGCGGUAAUACGGAGGGUGCAAGCGUUAAUCGGAAUUACUGGGCGUAAAGCGCACGCAGGCGGUUUGUUAAGUCAGAUGUGAAAUCCCCGGGCUCAACCUGGGAACUGCAUCUGAUACUGGCAAGCUUGAGUCUCGUAGAGGGGGGUAGAAUUCCAGGUGUAGCGGUGAAAUGCGUAGAGAUCUGGAGGAAUACCGGUGGCGAAGGCGGCCCCCUGGACGAAGACUGACGCUCAGGUGCGAAAGCGUGGGGAGCAAACAGGAUUAGAUACCCUGGUAGUCCACGCCGUAAACGAUGUCGACUUGGAGGUUGUGCCCUUGAGGCGUGGCUUCCGGAGCUAACGCGUUAAGUCGACCGCCUGGGGAGUACGGCCGCAAGGUUAAAACUCAAAUGAAUUGACGGGGGCCCGCACAAGCGGUGGAGCAUGUGGUUUAAUUCGAUGCAACGCGAAGAACCUUACCUGGUCUUGACAUCCACGGAAGUUUUCAGAGAUGAGAAUGUGCCUUCGGGAACCGUGAGACAGGUGCUGCAUGGCUGUCGUCAGCUCGUGUUGUGAAAUGUUGGGUUAAGUCCCGCAACGAGCGCAACCCUUAUCCUUUGUUGCCAGCGGUCCGGCCGGGAACUCAAAGGAGACUGCCAGUGAUAAACUGGAGGAAGGUGGGGAUGACGUCAAGUCAUCAUGGCCCUUACGACCAGGGCUACACACGUGCUACAAUGGCGCAUACAAAGAGAAGCGACCUCGCGAGAGCAAGCGGACCUCAUAAAGUGCGUCGUAGUCCGGAUUGGAGUCUGCAACUCGACUCCAUGAAGUCGGAAUCGCUAGUAAUCGUGGAUCAGAAUGCCACGGUGAAUACGUUCCCGGGCCUUGUACACACCGCCCGUCACACCAUGGGAGUGGGUUGCAAAAGAAGUAGGUAGCUUAACCUUCGGGAGGGCGCAUACCACUUUUGUGAUUCAUGACUGGGGUGAAGUCGUAACAAGGUAACCGUAGGGGAACCUGCGGUUGGAUCACCU